UAGCGUAGGGUGCAAGCGUUUGUCCGGAAUUAUUGGGCGUAAAGAGCUCGUAGGCGGCUUGUCGACGUCGGCGUGUCGAAAACCUGGGGCUCAACCCCGGGCCUGCAGCCGAUACGGGCAAGCUAGAAUUCGGUAGGGGAGACUGGAAUUCCUGGUGUAGCGGUGAAAUGCGCAGAUAUCAGGAGGAACACCGGUGGCGAAGGCGGGUCUCUGGGACCGAUAUUGACGCUGAGGAGCGAAAGCGUGGGGAGCGAACAGG
rnacentral:rRNA from 1 species